AAGUGUUAGUUCAGGCAACGAAGCUGCGAAUAGCUCAUUAGUACGCUCAGAAUCUAUUCGACGGCAAUCAAAGGAUUUUAAAUGGAUAGCAGAAGUAACUCUUGUGCUAAUACAUGCGAUUGUUUCUCCAGAAACGAUUUAUGGAGGAAAAGUUGACCUCUCAGGAGGCACGUCGUUCGAUUGAGUGACCUAUCAGCUUGUACUUAGGGUCUUUACCUAGGUAGGCUAUCACGGGUAACGGGCGGUUACCGUCGGACUGCCGGAGAAGGCGCCUGAGAGAUAGCGACUAUAUCUACGGGUAGCAGCAGGCGCGAAACUUUCCCACUCGAGACAUUCGGAGGAGGUAAUGACCAGUUCCAUGGAAGCCUCACGGCUUUGUGGAUAGGAUAACACCUUGAAAGUGAUAUGAAAUCUAGCAGUGGGCCAGUCUGGUGCCAGCAGCUGCGGUAAUUCCAGCUCUGCGAGUUUGCUCCCAUAUUGUUGCAGUUAAAACGCCCGUAGUCUGAAUUGGCUAGUAAUGGCCGAGAGAAAUUCGUUCACUGUGAACAAAUCAGGACGCUUAGAGUAUGGUCUCAUGAAUGACUCAGCGCAGUAUGAAGUCUUUGUUUUCUCCGGAAAACAAGCUCAACGAGAGCCAUCGGGGGUAGAUCUAUUUCAUGGCGAGCGGUGAAAUGCUUUGACCCAUGAGAGAGACACAGAAGCGAAGGCGUCUACCUAGAGGGUUUCUGUCGAUCAAGGGCGAGAGUAGGAGGAUCCAACCGGAUUAGAGACCCGGGCAGUUCCUACUGUAAACGAUGCCGACAGGAGUUUGUCUAUUAUAGGCAGAAUCCGCGGAGAAAUCAUAGUUCUNGGGCUCUGGGGGNAAACUACGACCGCAAGGCUGAAAACUUGAAGGAAUUGACGGAAGGGCACACCAGGGGUGGGAGCUUGUGGCUUAAUUUGAAUCAACACGGGGAAACUUACCAGGACCAGAUGGUUUUUAUGACUGACAGGCUUCGGGUCUUUCAGGAUAUGCUUUUUGGUGGUGCAUGGCCGUUGGUGGUGCGUGGGUUGACCUGUCUAGCGUUGAUUCAGAUAACGAGCGAGAUUAUCACCAAUUAAUUACAAGCACUUCCUCUAGAGGUGUGUUGUUCUAAUUGGGACUCCCUGUGAUUAUAGCAGGAGGAAGAGGGUAGCAAUAACAGGUCCGUGAUGUCCUUUAGAUGCUCUGGGCUGCACGCGCGCUACAAUGCUAGGAUCAAUAGGAAGCUACUCUGACAAGAGGCGCUACUCUUAUAAUCCCUAGCGUAGUUGGGAUUGAUGCUUGUAAUCAGCAUCAUGAACCAGGAAUCCCUUGUAAAUGUGUGUCAACAGCGCACGUUGAAUACGUCCCUGCCCUUUGUACACACCGCCCGUCGCUCCUACCGAUUGGAUGACUCGGUGAAAUCGCCAGACGCCCUCGGGUUAAGGCGAUUAAAUCACGUUAUCUA
rnacentral:rRNA from 1 species